UGGGGAAUUUUGGACAAUGGGCGCAAGCCUGAUCCAGCCAUUCCGCGUGCAGGACGAAGGCCUUCGGGUUGUAAACUGCUUUUGUACGGAACGAGAAGGCUCUGGCUAAUACCUGGGGCUCAUGACGGUACCGUAAGAAGAAGCACCGGCUAACUACGUGCCAGCAGCCGCGGUAAUACGUAGGGUGCAAGCGUUAAUCGGAAUUACUGGGCGUAAAGCGCACGUAGGCGGACUCUUAAGUCGGUGGUGAAAUCCUGGAGCUCAACUCCAGAACUUCCUUCGAUACUGGGAGUCUUGAGUUCGGGAGAGGUGAGUGGAACUGCGAGUGUAGAGGUGAAAUUCGUAGAUAUUCGCAAGAACACCAGUGGCGAAGGCGGCUCACUGGCCCGAUACUGACGCUGAGGUGCGAAAGCGUGGGGAGCAAACA
rnacentral:rRNA from 1 species